UAUAUUUUAGACAUUACAUUUGCAUACAUUGGAAUGUGUUUUCAUUUUACCUUGCUUAUUGAAAGAUCCUGUGACACUGGGUCUAGCGCCAUGUACUUCUUCUCCUUCACCACACAGAGGACAUCAUAGAGGACACACAUCUCUGUCAGAGCACUGCGCAAGUUGUUCCGCACAGAGUCCCAAGGCCACAAGGAUGGCUGGAACUUCACUGUGCCUGGGUUGUAUGCAUCAGCGAAUAAUGGUGUCUAAACUUCUCCUCAUACCUUCUUCUUCCUCUGCCUCCUGCUUUCCCCACUCCCGUUCCCUGGAGUCCCGUUCCCUGGAGUCAACCUCAGCUCCAUCCUCCUCUGAAUCUGAUCCCUGGCUGAAGUCGAUCCUCUGUGCCAACUUUGCCAGGUUCUGGGACAUAGACAGAGGUGGCACGUAGGUCUCCGUCCCAUCCAGAGCCACUUCCUGCACCUGCUUCUCGCAGGAGGACUCGAUGCUUACUCUCACUCCUGGACCACUGGCCAUGAUGACAAGGCUGGCAGGUGGACAACAAUAUAGACAGAAUUAUACGAGUGCUCCAGAAUUAGAGACGAAUAGCGUUAUACUUUUGUAUACUGAUAUUUACAUAUUUAUUAAGUGAAAAAACAAACACCAACUAUACAACUUGUAUAACAAUUCUAUAAUCACUAUGUUUAAACAAAAUGUAAGUUACUUUGUCUUCUACUGGAAAAGAACAACUGAGCAGAGUACUAAAGCUAGGGUUGCCAACCGUCCCUUACAAAAUUUAAUCUUCACAUUUGUAGAAACAAAAGUAUGCGUUGUGGGCUUCGUAUUAAGCUGCCAAGGGACGCAUUCGGUCCCAUAUUUUCAUUACCGGAAAAAUAAAAAAUUGUCUGUAAAAUAUAGAGUCCAUCGAAUGCACCUUUUAUAAGAGUUUCCAGCAGGCUAAGGUUAAACCAAUUGAUGCUACCAUGUCUGAUCACUCACCUGUCAAACCCAUUGCAGUUUGACUUAUCUGGCAUUUUUUGUUUUGUCUUGCUUUGGCUACUAUCACGCUGCCUCAGCGUGGCGGCAGUUAAAUAGAAUUAUCUGCCAAGCUUCUGGCAAUCGUACUUCAAAUGUGACUUUUUACCAAAAUUUAAUUUUUCUGCAAAAAAGAAGCGACUUGGGAAAUUUGUGCAUAAUUUUAUAUGUCUACUAGGUACUGUACGUUCUAACUUAUUAGCAUUGCUCGCUCACUUUUUUUUUUACAAGAGUCAUUUCACAUCUUUGCUCGCUUGUUGACGUUAUAAAAAUGAUAGUUAAUGGGUUGUACUAGUAUAGCGCUUUUCUACCGUUUUUUAAGGAACUAAAAGCGCUUUGACACUAUUUCCACAUUCACCCAUUCACACACACUUUCAUACACUGAUGGCGGGAGCUGCCAUGCAAGGCGCUAACCACGACCCAUCAGGAGCAAGGGUGAAGUGUCUUGUUCAAGGACACAACGGACAUGACUAGGAUGGUAGAAGGUGGGGAUUGAACCAGUAACCCUGAGAAUCCUAGCACGGCCACUCUCCCAACUUCGCCACACCGUCUCCCUCAUGUCUUAUCUGCAAGUUGAGUAACCAAGUUGUUAAACGUAAAACAAGUGUGUCCAGUAGGGCUGCGAAUCUUUGGGUGUCCCACGAUUCGAUUCAAUAUCGAUUCUUGGGGUCGCGAUUCGAUAACGUAUCGAUUUUUUCGAUUCAACGCGAUUCUCGACUCAGAAAUGAUAUUUUUCCGAUUCAAAACAAUUCUGUAUUCAUUCAAUACAUAGGAUUUCAGCAGGAUCUACCCCAGUCUGCUGACAUGCAAGCAGAGUAGUAGAUUUAAAAAAAAAAAAAGCUUUUAUAAUUAUAAAGGACAAUGUUUUAUCAACUGAUUGCAAUAAUGUAAAUUUGUUUUAACUAUUAACCAAACCAAAAAUAUGACUUAUUCAUCUUUGUGAAAACAUUGGACACAGUGUGUUGUCAAGCUUAUGAGAUGCGAUGCAAGUGUAAGGCACUGUGACACUAUUGUUCUUUUUUUUAAUUUUUAUAAAUGUCUAAUGAUAAUGUAAAUGAGGGAUUUUUAAUCACCGCCAUGCUGAAAUUAUAACUAAUAUUGAUACUGUUGAUAAUAUUCAUUUUUGUUUCACUACUUUUGGUUUGUUCUGUGUCGUGUUUGCGUCUUCUCAAUUGCUCUGUUUAUUGCAGUUCUGAGUUUUGCUCGGUCAGGUUUGGUUUUGGAAUUGGAUUGCAUUGUUAUGGUAUUGCUCUGUAGUGGUUUAAUAAUAAUAAUAAAAAAAUACAAAUAAAAAUCGAUUUGAAAAAAAAAGAGAAUCGAUUCUGAAUCACACGUGUUCGAUUCCAUUCGUAUUCAAAUCUAUCUUUUCCCAUACCCCUAGUGUCCAGUUUUAUGAUAGUCACACUACACUUUAUAAUAGUGACUACACUUUAAGAUAGUCACACUACUCUUUAUGAUAGUUACACUACAGGGGUCUUCAACAGUUAUCUGGUGAUACAGUAACUUACCAAAGAGUCAAAUGACAUUUUCUGCAACUUCUAAUAGUUGUGUAUGUGUUAAAUUCAUAAUUCUGAAAUGAUGCUUCUAUUCAAUGAAAAUGCUCACCUUAUAACCUAAAGACCAUGGCCAUAGGUAAUCUAAUUUAAUUGUAGCCAGUUAUAUGAAUACUGGACAAACAUCUCACCUUUCCUCUCUUUUUUAUCAAAAUAGUUCUCAUACUGAUGAAAGUUGGAGACCCCCUCAAUGUCUUAAAGCUGCACACUAAAUUCAUAUGGUUCUUGUAAGCAUUUCACCAAUCUCGCGCACUUUGCAAAUUAUACGUCAUUUCCAUUGUGCGCAAGCAAUUUGCAUUUCGCGAGACGAGAUUUUGUUUGAAAAUGGCGCAACCGUGCAAAUGGAUGGUUUGAGGAUGGCUGAAGAAGAAUUUGCGGAAUUCUGCACAGAAAGCUACAUUGAACAGAAGAAGAACAGCAAAACAGUCUCCCAACACUGCGUAGAUGGCAUCAAGGGUCAGGGUUAGGGUUCGGAUAAGGGUUAGUGUUAGUAGCCAGAACUUCCAACACAAUCAAUAUAUAGCUGGAAGCAAUUUCCAUCCAUCCAUUUUCUACAGCUUAUUCCCUUUUGGGGUCGCGGGCGCCAUUCUCAGCUACAAUCGGGCGGGAGGCGGGGUACACCCUGGACAAGUCGCCAUCUAAUCGCAGGGCCAACACAGAUAGACAACAUCAGUACACUGAGGUCAAUUCAGUGUUGCCAAUCAACCUAUCCCCAGGUGCAUUUCUUUGGAAGUGGGAGGAAGCAGGAGUACCCAGAGGGAACCCACGCAUUCACGGGGAGAACAUGCAAACUCCACACAGAAAGAUCCCGAGCCGGGGAUUGAACCCAGGACUGGAGGACCUUCGUAUUGUGAGGCAGACGCACUAACCCCUCUUCCACUGUGAUUGCCAAAAAGAUUGUGAAUUAUACAAAUUAGCAAAAUGCAGUUGCGCAUUUUUUGAAUUGCGUCCAUUGAUUUGCAAAAUGCGCACCACACAUUAUUCAAAUAUAUAGCUGAAAGCAAUUUGCAAAAAGAUUGCGCAUUGUACAAAUUUGCAAAAGGCAAUUGCGCCUUUUGCAAAUUGCUCCUAUUGGUAUUGUGCUUACAACACUGUUAAGUAGGAGAAAUGUCUGUUUGAGAUAUGUUCAUAUAUACUAUGUUAAGUUAAGCAGGAAACAUUUAUAUUUAAAAUAAAUUUACUUUACUCUGUUCAUUUUGUCAUUUUGCACAAAAAACAUUGCUUAUUUAACAACUUUCCCAAUUCCCAUACGCUUGUGUUAGUCCAAAUUCCAAAACCAGCCACAUCCAAUACAUUCUGAUUCAAGUCCACUAGUUUAAACAUGUAGUCCAGUUGUUUCCAUUUAGUCUUUGCAGAUAGUAUAAACUCAUUUCACACAUAUAAAAGGUAAAAAAAACAAAAACUCAAAACAGGUCAACCAGUUCCACAAGGUUUUCCUUUUUUAGGGAGUUGGCAACUCAAACUAAAGUCUAAAAGCUAUUGUUGAUAUGUGCACUAUUUGUUAGCGAGCUGGGGUUAGCUGUAUUACCACAACUUAAAAGGAAGUAUAGUCAGGUCAAAAACUCAUUUUCUUCAAGCAUCUCCUACCUGAGGUUUAGUCAACAGUUUUAAAUUGAAGAGUUAAUCUCAAGAGGUGAGGUAUUAUUUUCCAGAGAUGUCGUGAGCCGCGCUUGCUGCUGCUUUUAGAAACAGGGCUGAACAGCCGCCAUUGAACCUUUUCUUCUUCGCCCUCCAAAUGGGGAGGUGGCACCUCUACAUCAUGGAAAAUAGCGCCGUCGGUGGCCACUGAGGGGCGCAUACUGAAAAAUCUAAGAAUGCAGGGGGUCAUUUUCCAUUCAUACAUUCUCUACCGCUUGGGGGUCAUAUUGAUAUUUUUCCAUCCAUCCAUCCAUCCAUUAUUUUUUUAAUUUUCCAAAAUAUAAUUUUUCUUAAUUAUUUUUUUAUUUUUUAUAUAUCUUUAGGGUUACACUCAUGUUUUAAUGUGGGGACCCAGCAAGGUCUCAGACCUCCAGGCAACUUCAACCCUUUACUAAAACCCUCCCCCCUCCACAUCCCAUCUCCCCGGAUAACCAAAUGUAAAUAAUCAAAUGUAUUUCUAACAUAUAUACUUGUUCUUAUGCUCUCUGAACUCACUAUGUUCUCUGCUCGCUGUACAUAUCCUACUAAGUCUGACCUGCACUGUUUCAAUGUCCAUUUCUCUGAUGAUGCAAUUGUUGAUGACUGAAGUGCUGAUAUCAACCAAACCCUCCUCAUCCCAUCCCACAGAUUGUGAAUAAUGUAAAUUCAAUGUAUUUUAUUUUUUUUCCUUGGACGUAGUCUGUACCCCUCCUGAGGGUCUAGCCUUAUACUGAUAUUUUUUUUUUUACUCCCCCUCCUCUCACCCAAUGUAACCCUUUUCUCACCUUUUUAAGGAGCGCCGUAAAAAUGACUGAUCCGUUGGCGGUCCCGUCUUGUCUCCCUGUAUUGUAUGUCUGCUCUUAGUGGGACUGUGCCGAAAAUGUAAUUUUCAGUUCUUAUGUGUCUUGUGCAUGUUAAGAAUUGACAAUAAAUAAAUAAUCGAAGUAAAUAAAUGUUAAACAGGU